rnacentral:rRNA from 1 species
GGUCAGAUUUAUGGCUCAGAUUGAACGCUGGCGGGAUGCUUUACACAUGCAAGUCGAACGGCAGCACGGACUUCCGGUCUGGUGGCGAGUGGCGAACGGGUGAGUAAUGUAUCGGAACGUGCCUAGUAGCGGGGAUAAUCUGCGCGAAAGCGUAGCCAAUACCGCAUACGCCCUUCGGGGGAAAGCGGGGGACCUUCGGGCCUCGCACUAUUAGAGCAUGAUAUCGGAUUAGCUAGUUGGGUGGGGUAACGGCUCACCAAGGCGACGAUCCGUAGCUGGUUUGAGAGGACGACCAACCACACUGGGACCGAGACACGGCCCAGACUCUACGGGAGGCAGCAGUGGGGAAUUUUGACAAUGGGGGAAACCCUGAUCCAGCCAUCCCGCGUGUGCGAUGAAGGCCUUCGGGCGUUGUAAAGCGCUUUGUGAAAGAAACGGCACGGGAUAAUACCCCGUGCAAUUGACGGUACCUGCAGAAUAAGCACCGGCUAACUACGUGCCAGCAGCUGCGGUAAUACGUAGGGUGCAAGCGUUAAUCGGAAUUACUGGGCGUAAAGUGCGCAGGCGGUUCGGAAAGAAAGAGCGUGAAAUCCUGUGAGCUUAACUUUGGAACUGCAUUUUUUAACUACCGAGCUAGAGUGUGUCAGAGGGAGGUGGAAUUCCGCGUGUAGCAGUGAAAUGCGUAGAUAUGCGGAGGAACACCGAUGGCGAAGGCAGCCUCCUGGGAUAACACUGACGCUCAUGCACGAAAGCGUGGGGAGCAAACAGGAUUAGAUACCCCGGUAGUCCACGCCCCAAACGAUGUCAACUAGCUGUUGGGGCCUUCGGGCCUGGUAGCGCAGCUGACGCAUUUGAAGUUGACCGCCUGGGGAGUACGGUCGCAAGAUUAAAACUCAAAGGAAUUGACGGGACCCGCACAAGCGGUGGAUGAUGUGGAUUAAUUCGAUGCAACGCGAAAACCUUACCUACCCUUGACAUGGUCCUGAACUCUGAAGAGAUUUGGGAGUGCUCGCAAGAGAACCGGAACACAGGUGCUGCAUGGCUGUCGUCAGCUCGUGUCGUGAGAUGUUGGGUUAAGUCCUGCAACGAGCGCAACCCUUGUCAUUAGUUGCUACGAAAGGGCACUCUAAUGAGACUGCCGGUGACAAACCGGGAGGAAGGUGGGAUGACGUCAAGUCCUCAUGGCCCUUAUGGGUAGGCUUCACACGUCAUACAAUGGUCGGGACAGAGGGUCGCUAACCCGCGAGGGGGAGCCAAUCCCAGAAACCCGAUCGUAGUCCGGAUCGCAGUCUGCAACUCGACUGCGUGAAGUCGGAAUCGCUAGUAAUCGCGGAUCAGCAUGUCGCGUGGUGAAUACGCCCCGGGUCUUGUACACACCGCCCGUCACACCAUGGGAGUGGGUUUUACCAGAAGUAGUUGUGGGGCCCAACCGUAAGGAGGGCGAUUACCACGGUAGGAUUCAUGACUGGGGUGAAGUCGUAACAAGGCAG